rnacentral:rRNA from 1 species
UGGGGAAUAUUGCACAAUGGGCGAAAGCCUGAUGCAGCAACGCCGCGUGAGUGAUGAAGGUCUUCGGAUUGUAAAGCUCUGUCUUUUGGGACGAUAAUGACGGUACCAAAGGAGGAAGCCACGGCUAACUACGUGCCAGCAGCCGCGGUAAUACGUAGGUGGCGAGCGUUGUCCGGAUUUACUGGGCGUAAAGGGUGCGUAGGCGGAUGUUUAAGUGAGAUGUGAAAUACCCGGGCUUAACUUGGGUGCUGCAUUUCAAACUGGAUAUCUAGAGUGCAGGAGAGGAGAAUGGAAUUCCUAGUGUAGCGGUGAAAUGCGUAGAGAUUAGGAAGAACACCAGUGGCGAAGGCGACUCUCUGGACUGUAACUGACGCUGAGGCACGAAAGGCGUGGGUAGCAAACAGGAUUAGAUACCCU